GAUGAACGCUGGCGGCGUGCCUAAUACAUGCAAGUCGAGCGAACAGAUGAGGAGCUUGCUCCUCUGACGUUAGCGGCGGACGGGUGAGUAACACGUGGAUAACCUACCUAUAAGACUGGGAUAACUUCGGGAAACCGGAGCUAAUACCGGAUAAUAUAUUGAACCGCAUGGUUCAAUAGUGAAAGACGGUUUUGCUGUCACUUAUAGAUGGAUCCCGGCCGCAUUAGCUAGUUGGUAAGGUAACGGCUUACCAAGGCAACGAUGCGUAGCCGAACUGAGAGGGUGAUCGGCCACACUGGAACUUAGACACGGUCCAGACUCCUACGGGAGGCAGCAGUAGGGAAUCUUCCGCAAUGGGCGAAAGCCUGACGGAGCAACGCCGCGUGAGUGAUGAAGGUCUUCGGAUCGUAAAACUCUGUUAUUAGGGAAGAACAAAUGUGUAAGUAACUAUGCACGUCUUGACGGUACCUAAUCAGAAAGCCACGGCUAACUACGUG
rnacentral:rRNA from 1 species